CGGGGACGGGGGACGGGUAGGUAAGUAGUGUCGGGGUAACGCGCCGAUGGAGGGGGAUAACUACUGGAAACGGUAGCUAAUACCGCAUAACGUCGCAAGACCAAAGAGGGGGACCUUCGGGCCUCUUGCCAUCGGAUGUGCCCAGAUGGGAUUAGCUAGUAGGUGGGGUAACGGCUCACCUAGGCGACGAUCCCUAGCUGGUCUGAGAGGAUGACCAGCCACACUGGAACUGAGACACGGUCCAG
rnacentral:rRNA from 1 species